AAAUUGAAGAGUUUGAUCAUGGCUCAGAUUGAACGCUGGCGGCAGGCCUAACACAUGCAAGUCGAACGGUAACAGGAAGCAGCUUGCUGCUUUGCUGACGAGUGGCGGACGGGUGAGUAAUGUCUGGGAAACUGCCUGAUGGAGGGGGAUAACUACUGGAAACGGUGGCUAAUACCGCAUAACGUCGCAAGACCAAAGAGGGGGACCUUCGGGCCUCUUGCCAUCAGAUGUGCCCAGAUGGGAUUAGCUUGUUGGUGAGGUAACGGCUCACCAAGGCGACGAUCCCUAGCUGGUCUGAGAGGAUGACCAGCCACACUGGAACUGAGACACGGUCCAGACUCCUACGGGAGGCAGCAGUGGGGAAUAUUGSACAAUGGGCGCAAGCCUGAUGCAGCCAUGCCGCGUGUAUGAAGAAGGCCUUCGGGUUGUAAAGUACUUUCAGCGGGGAGGAAGGUGUUGUGGUUAAUAACCGCAGCAAUUGACGUUACCCGCAGAAGAAGCACCGGCUAACUMCGUGCCAGCAGCCGCGGUAAUACGGAGGGUGCAAGCGUUAAUCGGAAUUACUGGGCGUAAAGCGCACGCAGGCGGUCUGUCAAGUCGGAUGUGAAAUCCCCGGGCUCAACCUGGGAACUGCAUUCGAAACUGGCAGGCUUGAGUCUUGUAGAGGGGGGUAGAAUUCCAGGUGUAGCGGUGAAAUGCGUAGAGAUCUGGAGGAAUACCGGUGGCGAAGGCGGCCCCCUGGACAAAGACUGACGCUCAGGUGCGAAAGCGUGGGGAGCAAACAGGAUUAGAUACCCUGGUAGUCCACGCCGUAAACGAUGUCUACUUGGAGGUUGUGCCCUUGAGGCGUGGCUUCCGGAGCUAACGCGUUAAGUAGACCGCCUGGGGAGUACGGCCGCAAGGUUAAAACUCAAAUGAAUUGACGGGGGCCCGCACAAGCGGUGGAGCAUGUGGUUUAAUUCGAUGCAACGCGAAGAACCUUACCUGGUCUUGACAUCCACAGAACUUUCCAGAGAUGGAUUGGUGCCUUCGGGAACUGUGAGACAGGUGCUGCAUGGCUGUCGUCAGCUCGUGUUGUGAAAUGUUGGGUUAAGUCCCGCAACGAGCGCAACCCUUAUCCUUUGUUGCCAGCGGUCCGGCCGGGAACUCAAAGGAGACUGCCAGUGAUAAACUGGAGGAAGGUGGGGAUGACGUCAAGUCAUCAUGGCCCUUACGACCAGGGCUACACACGUGCUACAAUGGCGCAUACAAAGAGAAGCGACCUCGYGAGAGCAAGCGGACCUCAUAAAGUGCGUCGUAGUCCGGAUUGGAGUCUGCAACUCGACUCCAUGAAGUCGGAAUCGCUAGUAAUCGUGGAUCAGAAUGCCACGGUGAAUACGUUCCCGGGCCUUGUACACACCGCCCGUCACACCAUGGGAGUGGGUUGCAAAAGAAGUAGGUAGCUUAACCUUCGGG
rnacentral:rRNA from 1 species